rnacentral:rRNA from 1 species
UCGGUAACAGAGAAGUAGCUUGCUACUUUGCUGACGAGCGGCGGGACGGGUUGAGUAAUUGCUUGGGAAUAUGCCUUUUGGUCGGGGGACAACAGUUGGAAACGACUGCUAAUACCGCAUAAUGUCUACGGACCAAAGUGGGGGACCUUCGGGCCUCACGCCAAAAGAUUAGCCCAAGUGGGAUUAGCUAGUUGGUAAGGUAAUGGCUUACCAAGGCAACGAUCCCUAGCUGGUUUGAGAGGAUGAUCAGCCACACUGGGACUGAGACACGGCCCAGACUCCUACGGGAGGCAGCAGUGGGGAAUAUUGCACAAUGGGCGCAAGCCUGAUGCAGCCAUGCCGCGUGUGUGAAGAAGGCCUUCGGGUUGUAAAGCACUUUCAGUAAGGAGGAAAGGGUAGUCUUUAAUAGAGGCUAUCUGUGACGUUACUUACAGAAGAAGCACCGGCUAACUCCGUGCCAGCAGCCGCGGUAAUACGGAGGGUGCGAGCGUAUAAUCGGAAUUACUGGGCGUAAAGCGUACGCAGGCGGUUUGUUAAGCGAGAUGUGAAAGCCCCGGGCUCAACCUGGGAACUGCAUUUCGAACUGGCAAACUAAGUUGUGGAUAGAGGGGUGGUAAAAUUCCGGG